rnacentral:rRNA from 1 species
CCGGCCCAACGGCCGGGUAAUACCGCAUACGUUCACCGGACGGCAUCGUCUGGUGAGGAAACCUCCGGGGCAAAUCGAGGUGCUCGCGGCCUAUCAGCUAGUUGGUGAGGUAACGGCUCACCAAGGCGACGACGGGUAGCUGGUCUGAGAGGAUGGCCAGCCACAUUGGGACUGCGACACGGCCCAGACUCCUACGGGAGGCAGCAGUGGGGAAUAUUGCGCAAUGGACGAAAGUCUGACGCAGCGACGCCGCGUGUGGGAUGAAGCCUUUCGGGGCGUAAACCACUGUUGCCCGGGACGAACCUCCCCAUUCGUGGGGACUGACGGUACCGGGUGAGGAAGCACCGGCUAACUCUGUGCCAGCAGCCGCGGUAAUACAGAGGGUGCGAGCGUUGUCCGGAAUCACUGGGCGUAAAGGGCGCGUAGGUGGCUAGGUAAGCGUGUGGUGAAAGUCCGGGGCUCAACCCCGGAUCUGCCGUGCGAACUGCCAAGCUUGAGCGAUGUAGAGGCAGGUGGAAUUUCGGGUGUAGCGGUGGAAUGCGUAGAGAUCCGAAAGAACACCAGUGGCGAAGGCGGCCUGCUGGGCAUUUGCUGACACUGAGGCGCGACAGCGUGGGGAGCAAACAGGAUUAGAUACCCUGGUAGUCCACGCCGUAAACGAUGGGUACUAGGUGUCUGGGGGAGCGACCCCCUGGGUGCCGACGCUAACGCAUGAAGUACCCCGCCUGGGGAGUACGGCCGCAAGGCUGAAACUCAAAGGAAUUGACGGGGGCCCGCACAAGCGGUGGAGCAUGUGGUUUAAUUCGACGCAACGCGAAGAACCUUACCUAGGCUUGACAUGCUGGAGAAAGCUUGCGGAAACGUGAGCCCCUCUUCGGAGUUCCAGCACAGAUGCUGCAUGGCUGUCGUCAGCUCGUGUCGUGAGAUGUUGGGUUAAGUCCCGCAACGAGCGCAACCCUCACCCUUAGUUACCAGCGGGUAAAGCCGGGGACUCUAGGGGGACUGCCGGUGCCAAACCGGAGGAAGGCGGGGAUGACGUCAAGUCAUCAUGGCUCUUACGUCUAGGGCUACACACGUGCUACAAUGGGCCGGACAGCGGGUCGCUAGCUCGCGAGAGUAUGCCAAUCCCCAAACCGGUCCUCAGUUCGGAUUGUAGUCUG